GGGCCCGCACAAGCAGUGGAGCAUGUGGUUUAAUUCGAUGCAACGCGAAGAACCUUACCAGGCCUUGACAUCCUCGGAACUUUCUAGAGAUAGAUUGGUGCCUUCGGGAACCGAGUGACAGGUGCUGCAUGGCUGUCGUCAGCUCGUGUCGUGAGAUGUUGGGUUAAGUCCCGUAACGAGCGCAACCCUUGUCCUUAGUUGCCAGCACAUUAUGGUGGGAACUCUAAGGAGACUGCCGGUGACAAACCGGAGGAAGGUGGGGACGACGUCAAAUCAUCAUGCCCCUUAUGUCUUGGGCUUCACGCAUGCUACAAUGGCCGGUACAGAGGGCUGCAAUACCGCAAGGUGGAGCGAAUCCCAAAAAGCCGGUCUCAGUUCGGAUUGAGGUCUGCAACUCGACCUCAUG
rnacentral:rRNA from 1 species